rnacentral:tRNA from 1 species
CGUGGGGUAGAGCAGUUGGUAGCUCGCUGGGCUCAUAACCCGGAGGUCGCAAGUUCGAGUCUUGUCCCCGCCACAA